rnacentral:rRNA from 1 species
GAUGAACGCUGGCGGCGUGCCUAAUACAUGCAAGUCGAGCGAACAGACGAGGAGCUUGCUCCUCUGACGUUAGCGGCGGACGGGUGAGUAACACGUGGAUAACCUACCUAUAAGACUGGGAUAAUUUCGGGAAACAGGAGCUAAUACCGGAUAAUAUAUUGAACCGCAUGGUUCAAUAGUGAAAGACGGUUUUGCUGUCACUUAUAGAUGGAUCCGCGCCGCAUUAGCUAGUUGGUAAGGUAACGGCUUACCAAGGCAACGAUGCGUAGCCGACCUGAGAGGGUGAUCGGCCACACUGGAACUGAGACACGGUCCAGACUCCUACGGGAGGCAGCAGUAGGGAAUCUUCCGCAAUGGGCGAAAGCCUGACGGAGCAACGCCGCGUGAGUGAUGAAGGUCUUCGGAUCGUAAAACUCUGUUAUUAGGGAAGAACAAAUGUGUAAGUAACUGUGCACGUCUUGACGGUACCUAAUCAGAAAGCCACGGCUAACUACGUG